rnacentral:rRNA from 1 species
GGUGACCUGCGGAAGGAUCAUUCAUAAUAAGUGUUCUACUGCACUUUUUAAACAAGUACUCACCUUGUGUGCAAUGUUUGCUGUCGAGUCGUUUAUUCGUCUCGACAGCACAAUACCAACCUUUUAUUGUAAAUUUUUUGUCUGAAGCUAUUUCGAAUAUAUAAUUCUAAAUACAACUUUCAACAACGGAUCUCUUGGCUCUCGCAUCGAUGAAGAACGCAGCGAAAUGCGAUACGUAAUGUGAAUUGCAGAAUUCAGUGAAUCAUCGAAUCUUUGAACGCACAUUGCACUCUCUGGUAUUCCGGAGAGUAUGCUUGUUUGAGUAUCUGUAAACAUCUCAAAUCUCUCUUCGCUUGCGUCGAGAGAAUUGGAUUUGAGCGAUCCCGACUCCUUCGUCAGAAAGAGGAGGGUCGCUUGAAAUGCAGGUACCAGCUGGACAUUCUUCUGAGCUAAAAGCAUAUCUAUUUAGUCCCGUCAAACGGAUUAUUACUUUUGCUUCAGCUAAUAUAAAGGUCGAAUGAACUACCAACGCUGAUUGCAGGAAAACUUGUUCGUUUAUUCGGACUUGUAAACUCGAUCUCAAAUCAAGUAAGACUACCCGCUGAACUUAAGCAUAUCAAUAAGCGGAGGAAAAGAAACUAACAAGGAUUCCUCUAGUAACGGCGAGUGAAGCGGGAUGAGCUCAAAUUUAAAAUCUGGCUGG